CUCCUCUUGGCUAUAAAUUCUCAAUUUAUGUGGGAGGGCUAAAAUCAGGCACUUCAAAACAAAACCAAAGUUGCACAAAUUGUAUGAAUGAAUCCAACAGGGAGAAACCAAAAAUCCACUGCACAGGUGGAUGACAAACAUGCAUCUCUUGGGUCUGUCCAUCCAGAAGCAGACGCACACUUGCACGCUUGCUCGGUUCACAUUGCCGCAUGUCCCU
rnacentral:lncRNA from 1 species